UACGUAGGGGGCAAGCGUUGUCCGGAUUUAUUGGGCGUAAAGAGCGUGUAGGCGGUUCGGUAGGUCCGUUGUGAAAACUCGAGGCUCAACUGGGAGGGUGCGCCGAAUACUGAGAGGCUAGAGUGUGGGAGAGGAAAGUGGAAUUCCUGGUGUAGCGGUGAAAUGCGUAGAUAUCAGGAGGAACACCGGUGGUGUAAACGGCUUUCUGGACCAUAACUGACGCUGAGGCACGAAAGCGUGGGUAGCAAACAGG
rnacentral:rRNA from 1 species